AUUCUCAGGCAAGAGUGAGAGAAGUACGGUUUUGCAUACACUUUGAAGAAUAUCCUGGAGGUUGAAUGUAUGGACUCACUCUUCACAGAGCUGGAGUAUGGGAAGGAGAUUUUACAGAGAACAGAACCCCCUAAAAUUCUUAUGAUUCAUAAGGCCAGAUCUGACAGGAAAAUCACCCUGAGGUGCUGGGCCCUAAGCUUCUACCCUCCUGAAAUUACUCUGAACUGGGAGAGAGAUGGAUGCAACAAGAUACAGUACAUAGACGUGGUAGAGACCAGGCCUGCAGGGGAUGGAAUUUUCCAGAAGUAGGCAGCUUUGGUGGUCUCUUCCAGGGAAGAGCAGAGAUACAAAAAUCAUGUGAAUCAUGAAUGGCUGCCUGAGGUCAUCACCCUGAGAUGGGAGCCUCUUGGGCCCACCAUACACUUCAUGGCUAUUGUUGUUCCUGUGCUUCUUGGAGCUCUGCUUAUGGGAGAAGUGACAAAUUUUCUGUUAUGGAAGAAGAGUACUAGAGGU
rnacentral:lncRNA from 1 species